rnacentral:rRNA from 1 species
CCUACGGGUGGCAGCAGUGGGGAAUAUUGCACAAUGGGGGAAACCCUGAUGCAGCGACGCCGCGUGAAGGAAGAAGUCCCUCGGUAUGUAAACUUCUAUCAGCAGGGAAGAAAAUGACGGUACCUGACUAAGAAGCUCCGGAUAACUACGUGCCAGCAGCCGCGGUAAUACGUAGGGGGCAAGCGUUAUCCGGAUUUACUGGGUGUAAAGGGAGCGUAGGCGGUGCAGCAAGUCAGAAGUGAAAGCCCGGGGCUCAACUCCGGGACUGCAUUUGAAACUGUUGAACUAGAUUGCAGGAGAGGUAGGUGGAAUUCGUGGUGUAGCGGUGAAAUGCGUAGAUAUUAGGAGGAACACCGGUGGCGAAGGCAGCUUACUGGACUGUAAAUGACGCUGAGGCUCGAAAGCGUGGGGAGCAAACAGGAUUAGAUACCCCGGUAGUC